UACAGCCACAUGGAGCUGCAGAAAGGACGAGUCUGUCCCUCCUUCACUCAACAACAAGAGCAUUCGGUGGGUUCUGCUCAGCGCUCCCAUCGCCAUGGAGACGUUUGCUGUUUGGGUGGUGACGUGUGGAGCCUUACCUGGAGCCUCAGUUCCUUUGCAAUUACAUAAGGUGGCCCAGAUCAGAUUUUUCCGUGGUGCUGUUGAAGUUUCCACUCUGCCCGAGUGACUCGACACCACCUUUGCCAUCCCUCUUCCCUGUCUCCAACAACACAGCUCCCAGAUUUUCCCUGAAGUGACCUGGGCCUCCUUCCACUCCUCCUGAAAAUUCCUACACCAAGACAAUGAUUCCAAGGAAAGGACCAGAGAACUUUGUGUACCAAGAACCGAUUUUAAGGCAUAAAAAAGAGCAGUUCCAUCACCAGGUCAAAGAAACCCAUGGAUUGUUUCUCCGUUCUCUCUUCGCUGCUUCGGUUUGAGGCUCGUUGGUGGAAGGGGGUUUGAAAUCCUUUUAGUCAUUGUCCCACUGGAAAAUCCAUUGUUUCCCUCACUACUCAUCUCA